CCUACGGGAGGCAGCAGUGAGGAAUAUUGGUCAAUGGGCGCUAGCCUGAACCAGCCAAGCAGCGUGAAGGAUGAAUGCCCUAUGGGUCGUAAACUUCUUUUAUAUGGGAAUAAAGUGCAGUAUGUAUACUGCUUUGCAUGUACCUUAUGAAUAAGGAUCGGCUAACUCCGUGCCAGCACCCGCGGUAAUACGGAGGAUCCGAGCGUUAUCCGGAUUUAUUGGGUUUAAAGGGAGCGUAGGCGGGUUGUUAAGUCAGUUGUGAAAAGUCGGGGCUCAACCGUAAAAUUGCAGUUGAUACUGGCAGCCUUGAGUACAGUAGAGGUAGGCGGAAUUCGUGGUGUAGCGGUGAAAUGCGUAGAUAUCACGAAGAACUCCGAUUGCGAAGGCAGCCUGCUGGACUGUAACUGACGCUGAGGCACGAAAGUGUGGGUAUCAAACAGGAUUAGAUACCCGUGUAGUC
rnacentral:rRNA from 1 species